AAUGCAAGUCGAGCGGACAGAUGGAGCUUGCUCCCUGAUGUUAGCGGCGGACGGGUGAGUAACACGUGGGUAACACUGCCUGUGAGACUGGGAUAUAUCCGGGAAACCGGGGCUAAUACCGGAUGGUUGUUUGAACCGCAUGGUUCAGACAUAAAAGGUGGCUUCGGCUACCACUUACAGAUGGACCCGCGGCGCAUUAGCUAGUUGGUGAGGUAACGGCUCACCAAGGCGACGAUGCGUAGCCGACCUGAGAGGGUGAUCGGCCACACUGGGACUGAGACACGGCCCAGACUCCUACGGGAGGCAGCAGUAGGGAAUCUUCCGCAAUGGACGAAAGUCUGACGGAGCAACGCCGCGUGAGUGAUGAAGGUUUUCGGAUCGUAAAGCUCUGUUGUUAGGGAAGAACAAGUGCCGUUCAAAUAGGGCGGCACCUUGACGGUACCUAACCAGAAAGCCACGGCUAACUACGUGCCAGCAGCCGCGGUAAUACGUAGGUGGCAAGCGUUGUCCGGAAUUAUUGGGCGUAAAGGGCUCGCAGGCGGUUUCUUAAGUCUGAUGUGAAAGCCCCCGGCUCAACCGGGGAGGGUCAUUGGAAACUGGGGAACUUGAGUGCAGAAGAGGAGAGUGGAAUUCCACGUGUAGCGGUGAAAUGCGUAGAGAUGUGGAGGAACACCAGUGGCGAAGGCGACUCUCUGGUCUGUAACUGACGCUGAGGAGCGAAAGCGUGGGGAGCGAACAGGAUUAGAUACCCUGGUAGUCCACGCCGUAAACGAUGAGUGCUAAGUGUUAGGGGGUUUCCGCCCCUUAGUGCUGCAGCUAACGCAUUAAGCACUCCGCCUGGGGAGUACGGUCGCAAGACUGAAACUCAAAGGAAUUGACGGGGGCCCGCACAAGCGGUGGAGCAUGUGGUUUAAUUCGAAGCAACGCGAAGAACCUUACCAGGUCUUGACAUCCUCUGACAAUCCUAGAGAUAGGACGUCCCCUUCGGGGGCAGAGUGACAAGUGGUGCAUGGUUGUCGUCAGCUCGUGUCGUGAGAUGUUGGGUUAAGUCCCCCAACCAGCAACCCUUGAUCUUAGUUGCCACCAUUCGUUGGCCCUCUAAGGUGACUGCGGGGAAAACC
rnacentral:rRNA from 2 species